rnacentral:rRNA from 1 species
AGGACGAACGCUGGCGGUGUGCUUCACACAUGCAAGUCGAACGGGGUAGCAAUACCCAGUGGCGGACGGGUGAGUAACGCGUAGAAAUCUGCCUUGAGAUGGGGGAUAACAGUCCGAAAGGAUUGCUAAUACCGCAUAUGUAUGUAUCCGGACACGGGUGUAUAUGAAAGGAGUAAUCCGUCUUAAGAUGAGUCUGCGUCCGAUUAGCUAGUUGGUAGGGUAAAGCCUACCAAGGCGACGAUCGGUAGCUGGUCUGAGAGGAUGAUCAGCCACAAUGGGACUGAGACACGGCCCAUACUCCUACGGGAGGCAGCAGUGGGGAAUUUUGUGCAAUGGGGGAAACCCUGACACAGCGACACCGCGUGAGCGAAGAAGCCCUUUGGGGUGUAAAGCUCUGUCGGCUGGAACGAAAAAAAUGACGGUACCAGCAAAGGAAGCAUCGGCUAACUACGUGCCAGCAGCCGC